AUACAGAGGGUGCAAGCGUUAUUCGGAAUUACUGGGCGUAAAGCGCGCGUAGGCGGAUGAUUAAGUCAGUUGUGAAAGCCCUGGGCUCAACCUAGGAACUGCAUCUGAUACUGGUCGUCUAGAGUUUAAGAGAGGGAAGUGGAAUUCCAGGUGUAGCAGUGAAAUGCGUAGAUAUCUGGAGGAACAUCAGUGGCGAAGGCGACUUCCUGGCUUAAAACUGACGCUGAGGUGCGAAAGCGUGGGUAGCGAACGGGAUUAGAAACCCCGGUAGUCC
rnacentral:rRNA from 1 species